rnacentral:rRNA from 1 species
CCUACGGGUGGCAGCAGUGAGGAAUAUUGGUCAAUGGGCGCGAGCCUGAACCAGCCAAGUCGCGUGAGGGAAGACGGUCCUAUGGAUUGUAAACCUCUUUUGUCGGGGAGCAAAAGACGCCACGCGUGGCGUUCCGAGAGUACCCUAAGAAAAAGCAUCGGCUAACUCCGUGCCAGCAGCCGCGGUAAUACGGAGGAUGCGAGCGUUAUCCGGAUUUAUUGGGUUUAAAGGGUGCGCAGGCGGAAGAUCAAGUCAGCGGUAAAAUUGAGAGGCUCAACCUCUGCGAGCCGUUGAAACUGGUUGUCUUGAGUGAGUGAGAAGUAGGCGGAAUGCGUGGUGUAGCGGUGAAAUGCAUAGAUAUCACGCAGAACUCCGAUUGCGAAGGCAGCAUACCGGCGCUCAACUGACGCUCAUGCACGAAAGUGUGGGUAUCGAACAGGAUUAGAUACCCCAGUAGUC